GGGAGUAGAAGGGUAACUGGUGUGCCCUCCGGUCUUCAAAACCGGUAUGAGCAGCAGCCUGCUCGGGUGGGUUCGAUUCCCACCUACUCUCGCCA
rnacentral:tRNA from 1 species